AUGUCACAAAAGGGUCCCCAAAUGGGCUCAAAUGGCCCCAAAGGGUCCCCAAAUGGGAUCAGAUGUCACAAAAGGGGACCCCAAAUGGGAUCAAAUGGCCCCAAAGGGUCCCCAAAUGGGAUCAAAUGUCACCAAAGGGCCCCCAAAUGGGAUCAGAUGUCACCAAAGGGGACCCCAAAUGGGAUCAGAUGUCACAAAAGGGUCCCCAAAUGGGCUCAAAUGGCCCCAAAGUGUCCCCAAAUGGGCUCAAAUGUCACCAAAGGGUCCCCAAAUGGGCUCAAAUGGCCCCAAAGGGACCCCAAAUGGGCUCAAAUGGCCCCAAGAUGUCCCCAAAGGUGCUCAAAUGGCCCCAAUGGGACCCCAAAUAGGAUCAAAUGUCCCCACGGGGACCCCAAAUGGGAUGAAAUGACCCCAAAGUGUCCCCACGUGGGCUCAAAUGGCCCCAAGGGGACCCCAAAUGGGAUCAGAUGUCACCACAGGGUCCCCAAAUGGGCUCAAACGACCCCAAAGGGGCCCCCAAAUGAACCCAAAUGGGCUGAAAUGUCCCCAUGGUGUCCCCAAAUGCCCCCAGGUCACCCCAUAGUGGCCCUAUGAUGUCCCCCCAUAGUGCCCCCAUAGUGUCCCCAAAUACCCCCAUGAUGUCCCCCAAAUGCCCCCAUAGUGUCCCCAAAUGUCCCCCAACGCCACUAUAGUGUCUGUAUGAUGCCCCCAAAUCCCCCCAUGAUGCCCCCCUAUGCCCCCAUAAUGUCCCCAA
ensembl:lncRNA